GACGAACGCUGGCGGCGUGCUUAACACAUGCAAGUCGAGCGAGGUCCAACCGGUGGCAACACCGGGGAAGACCUAGCGGCGAACGGGUGAGUAACACGUGGGAAACCUGCCCCGAAGUUCGGGAUAACCCGGGGAAACCCGAGCUAAUACCGGAUACCCACGAUUGGUCGCAUGGCCGAUCGUGGAAAGAACUUCGCUUCGGGAGGGUCUCGCGGCCUAUCAGCUUGUUGGUGGGGUAACGGCCCACCAAGGCAUCGACGGGUAGCUGGUCUGAGAGGACGAUCAGCCACACUGGGACUGAGACACGGCCCAGACUCCUACGGGAGGCAGCAGUGGGGAAUCUUGCGCAAUGGGCGAAAGCCUGACGCAGCAACGCCGCGUGCGGGAUGAAGGCCUUCGGUUGUAAACCGCUUUCAGUAGGACGAAAUUGACGGUACCUACAGAAGAAGCCCGGCC
rnacentral:rRNA from 1 species